rnacentral:lncRNA from 1 species
GAGAAGGUCCAAAAUGCGGAAAGAGCUCAAAUGCUAGGAAAAGCUCGAGGGAUGAGGAAGUGGAUGUGGGAUCUGACCUUGAGGAGCUAUGGACACUGCAUGUCGAUGGCUCAUCAAUUGCAUCUGGAGCAGGGGCCACGCUUAUCUUAACCAGUCUUGAAGGAGAUAUAGCGGGAUAUUCUCUACGCUACAACUUCUCGACUACCA